AGCUCCAAUAGCGUAUAUUAAAGUUGUUGUGGUUAAAAAGCUCGUAGUUGGAUUUCGGCGGGUCGGGGCUGGCUUGAAUUGAUUAAACACAGACUUUUUUAACCGCGUGUUUUGCCAGAAUCUUACCGGGGAUCUUUUCCGAUUGUCCGCUGGAACUGGCAGGUUUACUUUGUAAAAAAUUAGAGUGCUCAAAGCAAGCUUACUGCUUGAAUAGUUGUCGCAUGGAAUAAUAGAAUAGGAAGUCGUUUCUAUUUUGUUGGUUUUCGGAAAUCGACUUAAUGAUUAAUAGGGAUAGUCGGGGGCAUUCGUAUUCAAACGACAGAGGUGAAAUUCUUGGACCGUUUGAAGACGAACUAAGGCGAAAGCAUUUGCCAAGAAUGUUUUCA
rnacentral:rRNA from 1 species